AGCAGUCGCCGCGGGAAUACGGAGGGUGCAAGCGUUAUCCGGAUUUAUUGGGUUUAAAGGGUCCGUAGGCGGAUCUGUAAGUCAGUGGUGAAAUCUCACAGCUUAACUGUGAAACUGCCAUUGAUACUGCAGGUCUUGAGUAAAUUUGAAGUGGCUGGAAUAAGUAGUGUAGCGGUGAAAUGCAUAGAUAUUACUUAGAACACCAAUUGCGAAGGCAGGUCACUAAGAUUUAACUGACGCUGAUGGACGAAAGCGUGGGGAGCGAACAGGAUUAGAUACCCGUGUAGUCCCUGUCUCUUAUAC
rnacentral:rRNA from 1 species